rnacentral:rRNA from 1 species
UGCCAGACUCCUACGGGAGGCAGCAGUGGGGAAUAUUGGGCAAUGGGCGCAAGCCUGACCCAGCAACGCCGCGUGAAGGAAGAAGGCUUUCGGGUUGUAAACUUCUUUUAAGGGGGAAGAGCAGAAGACGGUACCCCUUGAAUAAGCCACGGCUAACUACGUGCCAGCAGCCGCGGUAAUACGUAGGUGGCGAGCGUUGUCCGGAAUUACUGGGUGUAAAGGGCGUGUAGGCGGGAUUGCAAGUCAGAUGUGAAAUUCCAGGGCUCAACCCUGGAACUGCAUUUGAAACUGUAGUUCUUGAGUGAUGGAGAGGCAGGCGGAAUUCCGUGUGUAGCGGUGAAAUGCGUAGAUAUACGGAGGAACACCAGUGGCGAAGGCGGCCUGCUGGACAUUAACUGACGCUGAGGCGCGAAAGCGUGGGGAGCAAACAGGAUUAGAUACCCUAGUA